AUACUGAGGGUGCGAGCGUUAAUCGGAAUUACUGGGCGUAAAGCGCGCGUAGGCGGCUUAUUAAGUCAGAUGUGAAAUCCCCGGGCUCAACCUGGGAACUGCAUCUGAUACUGGUAAGCUAGAGUUUUGGAGAGGGAAGUAGAAUUUCAGGUGUAGCGGUGAAAUGCAUAGAGAUCUGAAGGAAUACCAGUGGCGAAGGCGACUUCCUGGCCAAAAACUGACGCUGAGGUGCGAAAGCGUGGGUAGCAAACGGGAUUAGAAACCCCAGUAGUCC
rnacentral:rRNA from 1 species